GGGAACUCACUUGGUCUGGGCGCGUCUCUUGGAAACACCAUACUUGUAUGGUCUCUGCCUUUAGUAUUAGUACAACGUUGAAGCAGCAUCCACUGAUAUGGUCAGCCACUAAUCUCCCUCAUGAUGCAUAUAAACUUCUUGCUGUGCCGUCUCCUAUUGGUGGAGUACUUGUUAUUGGUGCAAACACUAUCCAUUAUCAUAGCCAGUCAUCUUCUUGUUCGUUGGCGUUGAACAAUUUUGUCUUCUUUGGUGAUAACAGUCAAGAAAUGCCAAGAUCAUCUAUUAAUGUGGAGUUAGAUGCAGCUAAUGCAACUUGGUUAACAAGUGAUGUGGCAAUGCUG
rnacentral:misc_RNA from 1 species